rnacentral:rRNA from 1 species
GAUGAACGCUGGCGGCGUGCCUAAUACAUGCAAGUCGAGCGAACAGACGAGGAGCUUGCUCCUCUGACGUUAGCGGCGGACGGGUGAGUAACACGUGGAUAACCUACCUAUAAGACUGGGAUAACUUCGGGAAACCGGAGCUAAUACCGGAUAAUAUAUUGAACCGCAUGGUUCAAUAGUGAAAGACGGUUUUGCUGUCACUUAUAGAUGGAUCCGCGCCGCAUUAGCUAGUUGGUAAGGUAACGGCUUACCAAGGCAACGAUGCGUAGCCGACCUGAGAGGGGGAUAGGCCACACUGGAACUGAGACACGGUCCAGACUCCUACGGGAGGCAGCAGUAGGGAAUCUUCCGCAAUGGGCGAAAGCCUGACGGAGCAACGCCGCGUGAGUGAUGAAGGUCUUCGGAUCGUAAAACUCUGUUAUUAGGGAAGAACAAAUGUGUAAGUAACUAUGCACGCCUUGACGGUACCUAAUCAGAAAGCCACGGCUAACUACGUG